UACGGAGGAUGCAAGCGUUAUCCGGAUUGAUUGGGCGUAAAGCGUCUGUAGGUGGUUACGCUAGUCGGCUGUUAAAGAUCAGGGCUGAACCCUGAGCAAGCAGUCGAAACUGCGUGGCUGGAGUACGGUAGGGGCAGAGGGAAUUCCCGGUGGUAGCGGUGAAAUGCGUAGAUAUCGGGAAGAACACCAAAGGCGAAAGCGCUACUGCUGGCCGAAACUGACACUGAGGAGAACGAAGCUAGGGGAGCGAAUGGGAUUAGGAAUAGCC
rnacentral:rRNA from 1 species